rnacentral:rRNA from 1 species
GACGAACGCUGGCGGCGUGCUUAACACAUGCAAGUCGAACGAAGUGGCGAACGGGUGAGUAAUACGUGGGUAACCUGCCCUCCUUUUUGGGAUAAGCCUUGGAAACGGGGUCUACUACCGAAUAAAGGGGGAUGGGCUCGCGGCCUAUCAGGUUGUUGGGGGGGUGAUGGCCUACCAAGGCGGUGACGGGUAGCCGGCCUGAGAGGGUGACCGGCCAUAGUGUGACUGAGAUACGGCCCAGGCACCUACGGGAGGGAGCAGUUGGGGAUAUGGCACAAGGGUCGAAAGCCUGAGGCGGCGAUGCCGCGUGGGGGAUGAAGGCUUUCGGGUUGUAAACCUCUGUCGCUAUCGAGCGGGUAGGUGGAGAAGAAGCGCCGGCUAACUACGUGCCAGCAGCCGCGGUAAUAC